GAUUUAAAUACACAAUAUGUACAUUAAGCCGAGGGAAACAAGAAAGAAAAUCGGAAAAAUGCUUCUUCAGCUGUGGCGAAAUAGUGUUGGCCUUGCCAUUCUAUACGCUAUCCAUCUAAUUUUUUGUAAUUCUUUUCA
rnacentral:ribozyme from 12 species